AUGGCCUGUGCUCCAUCUACGGUGAAGGUGGCCGCCAUCUCCCUGCUGGUGAUCCUGUGCGCCGGAACACAGCUCACGGCCGUGCAUGGCCGUGGCCCAGCCCUCGACGUUGCGGAUGGCGGUGAGGAAGACGUCGGCACGGCCCUGCUGCGGCUCGUGAAGCCCACGUCGGCGGCGCUGGACGAGCUGGCCCAGAAGCUGCGUCAGGGCUGGCUUCAGUGCAGUGAAUCGUGUCAGACUUGUAUAUUCGUUUGCGCAUGCCAGAACUGUGAGUGUGACGGCCCGCCAUCGGAGGAGAACAAUAAGUGUGAGCGGGAUUGCAUCCAGAGAAGGGGCUGCGAAUCAUUGUGA
rnacentral:rRNA from 1 species